GAGAAAUAGACGACGGCAAAAAAGUGAAAGAAUGGAAAAAUUGCAGCCGUAGAUAAAGUUGUUUCAAGUUUUAUAUUAUAGCUUUACUUUCCCUU
rnacentral:ribozyme from 15 species